GCAAUGCAGAAAUUAUUGCUUCGAAGUUGGAGACAUUAUGCGAAAGUAGCAAACACCUGCUUCCUCCUGAGGGCAACCAAAAUUCCUCUGGUUUUGGUGAAAAUAAAAAGACUGAGGUGCAGAUAGAAUUAAACCAGAUUGGCAAGAGAGAAUUCCUGAUUAAGCUCUUCUAUGAGCAUAAGCGAGGAGGGUUUAGGAAGUUGAUGGAUGCUAUUUAUUCAUUUGGUCUUCAAGUUGUUGAUGCUAAUAUGACAACAUUUAAUGGCAAGGUGCUGAACAUUCUCAAGGUUGAGGCUAAUGCGAAGGACAUUCAACCAAGAAAAUUGAAAGAGUCGUUGCUGAAGCUGGGAGGUUAGACAAUUCAGACAGAUACCAUGUAGCUAAGGUUACAGAAAUUUAAGAGUAAAAAUAAACUGGGGGCUCCCUCCUUUCAUCUAUGUUCAGCUAAGGUUGUUGUAGUGAUCCACCCAAAUAGCUAUGAGAUUCAAAUAUAACAUCUAGUUGUAAACAUUGUGAAAG
rnacentral:misc_RNA from 1 species